rnacentral:rRNA from 1 species
AUUGAACGCUGGCGGCAGGCCUAACACAUGCAAGUCGAGCGGAUGAAGGGAGCUUGCUCCUGGAUUCAGCGGCGGACGGGUGAGUAAUGCCUAGGAAUCUGCCUGGUAGUGGGGGAUAACGUCCGGAAACGGGCGCUAAUACCGCAUACGUCCUGAGGGAGAAAGUGGGGGAUCUUCGGACCUCACGCUAUCAGAUGAGCCUAGGUCGGAUUAGCCAGUUGGUGGGGUAAAGGCCUACCAAGGCGACGAUCUGUAACUGGUCUGAGAGGAUGAUCAGUCACACUGGAACUGAGACACGGUCCAGACUCCUACGGGAGGCAGCAGUGGGGAAUAUUGGACAAUGGGCGAAAGCCUGAUCCAGCCAUGCCGCGUGUGUGAAGAAGGUCUUCGGAUUGUAAAGCACUUUAAGUUGGGAGGAAGGGCAGUAAGUUAAUACCUUGCUGUUUUGACGUUACCAACAGAAUAAGCACCGGCUAACUUCGUG